UUCGUAGGCGGCCCGAUAAGUCAGAGGUGAAAUCUAACGGCUUAACCGUUAGCCUGCCUUUGAAACUGUCAGGCUUGAGUAUUGGAGAGGAAAGCGGAAUUCUUGGUGUAGCGGUGAAAUGCGUGGAUAUCAAGAGGAACACCCGUGGCGAAAGCGGCUUUCUGGCCAAAUACUGACGCUGAGGAACGAAAGCUAGGGGAGCGAACAGGAUUAGAUACCCUGGUAGUCC
rnacentral:rRNA from 1 species